rnacentral:lncRNA from 1 species
AAAAAGAAAUGAGGUUUGUUAACCUGUCAACUACAAACUCUUGUCAGAACUGUUUACAGUGGUAGCCCUCUGCCCUUGGAAAUACUUCCAGAGAGGCUUUUUAAAAACCUUAGGUGGCUGAUUUGUUUUGGAAUCCGUGUGUGUGUGUGUGUGUGUGUGUGUGUGUGAGAACAGUUUGAGAUGUAGUGUCAACAUACUUGAUGUAUGCAAUAGGAAAAGCAUAAGUUUGAUUCAGUCAUGGGUAAGAGCAUGUUUUAUGCUAUUGGACACUGAGAAGAGAUGAGAGAGUGUCUUGGGACUAUCGCCUUUGGCUACUUUGUGGUUUCUUUCUUCCACCCUUCUCCACCCCUUUCUGCCACACUUUCCACCCCCUAGAUAAGAGAGAGGAAAGAGAUCCCUGAAUAAAGUCAGGGGUGGGAAAGGGGCAACUCUAUCGUUAGACUACUUCCUGCUGAUUAGGGGUGUCCUUGGGGCAAGUUUGAUCUUCGCUGUCAGGAUAUGUAAUUUUUUCUUCUUGUUUCUUCUUUGUGCCCGACUACUUAACAACAACAAAGGACCAUCAACCCACACUGCCUCCUUUGGCUCUAGCAUUUAUAUACUGUCAGGAAACUCCACAGAAUUCCAACUAACACACAAUCACAGAAACUCUGCAGCUGGGAAAUCCUGGUCAGUGGCUGUGGACAGUCUGAAGCAGCCCGGUGUCCCACACCUGUGUGGACAGUCUGAAGCAGCCCGGUGUCCCACACCUGUGUGGACAGCCUGAAGCAGCCCCGUGUCCCACACCUGUGUGGACAGUCUGAAGCAGCCCCGUGUCCCACACCUGGGAUUCAAGUGAAAACGUAGUCUUAAAAUACUUUUGUGUUUCUUACAGAAACCAAAACUCCAAAAUUGUCAUUAUAGACUUGAUAAGUAGCGCUCGACUACCAUUUGUUAACUGUUCUGCCGUUGCUCAUAGAUCUCGGCCUUUCAUUUGGUGGUCAUGUGUGGAAGACUUUCACUUAACAGCCAUUCCUAUCAAAUGACUUCUAAGGCAGGCCCGACACCGCCAGUUUGCUUCUGAGUCACCUGCAUUACAAACUAAAUUGUGUGCUUGUGUGAACUCAUGU